rnacentral:rRNA from 1 species
AGAAUGAACGCUGGCGGCGUGCUUAACACAUGCAAGUCGAACGAGGCGGAAGGGGGCAACUCCUUCCAGUCGAGUGGCGGACGGGUGAGUAACACGUGGGUAACCUGCCCGGAAGUGUGGAAUACCUCGGGGAAACUCGAGCUAAUACCGCAUGACAUCUUCGGGACGACAGUCCUGACGAUCAAAGCGGGGUCGCAAGAUCUCGCGCUACCGGAUGGGCCCGCGCCCGAUUAGCUAGUUGGCGAGGUAACGGCUCACCAAGGCUUCGAUC